AUUCUCCCCCCCCCCCCCCCGCGCCCGUCCCGCCGCCCCCGCCCGCCUACGGGAGGCAGCAGGGGGGAAUAUUGCACAAUGGGCGAAAGCCUGAUGCAGCAACGCCGCGUGAGGGAUGACGGCCUUCGGGUUGUAAACCUCUUUUAGCAGGGAAGAAGCGAAAGUGACGGUACCUGCAGAAAAAGCGCCGGCUAACUACGUGCCAGCAGCCGCGGUAAUACGUAGGGCGCAAGCGUUAUCCGGAAUUAUUGGGCGUAAAGAGCUCGUAGGCGGUUUGUCGCGUCUGCUGUGAAAUCCCGAGGCUCAACCUCGGGCCUGCAGUGGGUACGGGCAGACUAGAGUGCGGUAGGGGAGAUUGGAAUUCCUGGUGUAGCGGUGGAAUGCGCAGAUAUCAGGAGGAACACCGAUGGCGAAGGCAGAUCUCUGGGCCGUAACUGACGCUGAGGAGCGAAAGGGUGGGGAGCAAACAGGCUUAGAUACCCUGGUAGUCCACCCCGUAAACGUUGGGAACUAGUUGUGGGGACCAUUCCACGGUUUCCGUGACGCAGCUAACGCACUAAGUACGCCCUGCACUGGACACGGCGACUCGG
rnacentral:rRNA from 1 species